GUGAAAACAAGUGUUAUUCUUUGACAGAAUAAUUUAAUUUUGAGUCAGAUUUCCAGUGUUUUGGUAAAGUUGGUGUGUGCAGAGAAAGAUGCGUUCUAUUUUGAAAUGAAGAUUUAGUAUAUAUUUAACAAAAUGUGUUUUUGAGAAGAAAAUUAUCCAUUUGGCCAAUUGUGUUUUGUAGGUGUGAGUCUGUGUUAAGAGUUUAGAAAAAGUAUCUGAAGUAUGGUCAAGCGCUUGUUAGC